GUAUAAGUGCAGUGGCAGUAUCGUAGCUAAUGAGGUUAAUCCGAGGUGCGAUUAUUGCUAGGUGAAAACAUUUGAGCAUGUUAAUUAGAAGAAGUAAUGCCUUUCUGUCUGAUUAAGGUUCUUGGCUGUUAAAAGAGAAA